GACGAACGCUGGCGGCGUGCUUAACACAUGCAAGUCGAACGGUGAUGCUCCAGCUUGCUGGCGUGGAUCAGUGGCGAACGGGUGAGUAACACGUGAGCAACCUGCCCCAGACUCUGGAAUAAGCGCUGGAAACGGCGUCUAAUACUGGAUACGAAACUGGCCCGCAUGGGCAUGGUUUGGAAAGUUUUUCGGUUUGGGAUGGGCUCGCGGCCUAUCAGCUUGUUGGUGAGGUAAUGGCUCACCAAGGCGACGACGGGUAGCCGACCUGAGAGGGCGACCGGCCACACUGGGACUGAGACACGGCCCAGACUCCUACGGGAGGCAGCAGUGGGGAAUAUUGCACAAUGGGCGAAAGCCUGAUGCAGCGACGCCGCGUGAGGGAUGACGGCCUUCGGGUUGUAAACCUCUUUCAGCAGGGAAGAAGCGAAAGUGACGGUACCUGCAGAAGAAGCACCGGCUAACUACGUG
rnacentral:rRNA from 1 species